AAAGAGGUGACACUGCUGGCUGACCUUCCCUCCCGGUGGCGCUGGGCCUACAACAUCAGUUUUCAACAAUGCCCGAUUGCUGAGCUGCAGACGUAGUGCCUUAUGGAGGUGAGGGAGAGAUGACACUGAGGCCUUGGACCAGAAAGCAAUGUGGAUGUGGGGAGACGCUGUUAAACUCUCCUAUGCAUGUCCCCAUUGCAUGCAAUGCCUUCCAUCUCCACUGCACAGCCAUGUUUAACCCUCCAGCCAGGACAUGUGUGCCACAGAAGAAGCAGAAGACCGAGACAACUCCAGUCCCUGGCGCACGCCUGUCCCAUGUGAUCACAGCAGGAACGCUGUGGAGAGCCCCUCUUCCCCUUAGGGAUACCCAAAGCACGAAGCUAUCUGCCUGAUGAAAGCAGGAGAGACGGCUCAGUGGUUAGAAGCACUGGCUACCCUUCCAGAGGUCCGUUUGAUUUCCAACAACCACAUGGUGGCUCACAACUAUCUGUAUCUCCAGUU